rnacentral:rRNA from 1 species
AGUGAACGCUGGCGGUAGGCCUAACACAUGCAAGUCGAACGGCAGCACAGUAAGAGCUUGCUCUUACGGGUGGCGAGUGGCGGACGGGUGAGGAAUACAUCGGAAUCUACUUUUUCGUGGGGGAUAACGUAGGGAAACUUACGCUAAUACCGCAUACGACCUACGGGUGAAAGCAGGGGAUCUUCGGACCUUGCGCGAUUGAAUGAGCCGAUGUCGGAUUAGCUAGUUGGCGGGGUAAAGGCCCACCAAGGCGACGAUCCGUAGCUGGUCUGAGAGGAUGAUCAGCCACACUGGAACUGGGACACGGUCCAGGGUCCUACGGGAGGCAGCAGGGGGGAAUAUCGAACAAUGGGCGCAAGCCUGAUCCAGCCAGACGGCGUGGGUGAAGAAGGCCUUCGGGUUGUAAAGCCUUUUUGUUGGGAAAGAAAAGAAGCAGGUUAAUACCCCGCUGUUCUGACGGUACCCAAAGAAUAAGCACCGGCUAACUCCGU